rnacentral:lncRNA from 1 species
CCCUCUAGGUCACUACGGAGCUCCCCGUGCUAUACCGCAGGUUCCCACUAGCUAUCUGUUUUACACGUGCCAGUGCACAUGGCAAUCCCGACUUCCCAAUUCAUGGCACUGCCCCUCCCUGCCUUGUGUCUACAUGUCCAUUCUCUAUGACUGUGACUCUAUUCCUACACUAUAAAUGGGUUCAUCUGUACCAUUUUUUCUAAAUUCCACACACAUGCAUUAAUAUAGGAUAUUUGUUUUUCUCUUUUGUUAAAAGGUAUUUAUUUGUUGCAUUGGUCUUUGUUGCUACACCCAGGCUUUCUCUAGUUGUGGCAAGUGGGGCUACUCUCUAGUUUUGGUGCGUGGGCUUCUCAUUGUGGCGGCUUCUCUUGUUGCAGAGCAUAGGGUCUAGGAUACAUGGGCUUCGGUAGUUGUGACUCACAGGCUUACUUGCCUCUCAGCAUGUGGGAUCUUCCUGGACCAGGGAUCUAACCCUGUCUCCAGCAUUGGCAGGUGGAUUCUUAACCACUGAACUACUGGGGAAGUCCCCUGUUUUUCUCUUUCUGACUUAUUUCACAUACAGAGUGAAGUAAGUAAAAAUAAGUUUUUUUUAACCUUGGCAUUUUAAAAAGAAUUAACAGUUGUGGUUUGUAUAGGACAUAAAGUGUUUUGUCAAUAAACAGAGCCUGAACACUGACAGGGCUCUCCCAGGCAAUAUACAGUAGAGAGUGUUCUUCCCAAAGAAAGUUUCAGUCUAGUGAGAGAGGUCUCACACACACACACACACACACACACACACACACACACACACAAGUUUACAGUGAUGUAUCACUUGGUUGCCUAAUACAUCGCAAGAUAACAAAGACCAGGAAAGAGGGAUUCAAAAGAAAACAUAACCAUGAGUGUUAAAGAAAAAAAAAUCAUACCAGAUAUGACAAGCAAACAGAGCUCUAUUUUAUUUAGAUACUAUUGCUGGUAAUAGACCAGUCUCGUUGCCCAGCUAGGUGGAAACAAAGGUCUAAAGAGUUUUUAAGUGCUGGA